AACGCACCUUGCGCUCCUUGGUAUUCCGAGGAGCAUGCCUGUUUGAGUGUCAUUAACCUAUCAACCCCACCGGUUUUGCGACCGGCUGGCGGCUUGGACUUGGAGCGUGCUGGCGGCAAGUCAGCUCCUCUUGAAAUGCAUUAGCGAGUUCACUUCUCUCGCGGUUGGUGUGAUAACUAUCUGCGCUGUAGUUGUGAAGUAUUUAUGUGCUCAUGCUUACAAUUGCUUAGUUGUCUUUGAAAAAGAAAAAAAGAGACGACGGCGUUAUGACAUCUGGCCUCAAAUCAGGUAGGAUUACCCGCUGAACUUAA
rnacentral:rRNA from 1 species